rnacentral:rRNA from 1 species
AUUGAACGCUGGCGGCGUGCUUAACACAUGCAAGUCGAUCGGUAACAGGUGUAGCAAUACAUGCUGACGAGAGGCGGACGGGUGAGGAACGCUUGGGAAUCUGCCUAUCAGCGGGGGACAACCCGGGGAAACUCGGGCUAAUACCGCAUACGCUCUACGGAGGAAAGCCGGGGACCGCAAGGCCUGGCACUGAUAGAUGAGCCCAAGUCGGAUUAGCUAGUUGGCGGGGUAACGGCCCAACAAGGCGAUGAUCCGUAGCUGGUCUGAGAGGACGACCAGCCCCACCGGAACUGAGACACUGCACGGACUCCUACGGAAGGUAGCAGUGGGGAAUAUUGGACAAUGGGGGAAACCCUGAUCCAGCGACGCCGCGUGGGUGAAGAAGGCCUGCGGUUUGUAAUGCCCUUUCGGUAGGGAGGAAAUCUCUUGCUCAAACAAAGCAGGAGUUUGACUUAACCUACAUAAGAAGCACCGUCUAACUCUGUGCCAGUAGCCGCCGCCGUAA